rnacentral:rRNA from 1 species
UACGUAGGGUGCGAGCGUUAAUCGGAAUUACUGGGCGUAAAGCGUGCGCAGGCGGUUUUGUAAGACAGGUGUGAAAUCCCCGGGCUUAACCUGGGAACUGCAUUUGUGACUGCAAGGCUAGAGUAUGGCAGAGGGGGGUAGAAUUCCGCGUGUAGCAGUGAAAUGCGUAGAUAUGUGGAGGAAUACCGAUGGCGAAGGCAGCCCCCUGGGUCAAUACUGACGCUCAUGCACGAAAGCGUGGGGAGCAGACAGG